rnacentral:rRNA from 1 species
GAUGAACGCUGGCUACAGGCUUAACACAUGCAAGUCGAGGGGAAACGACGGGGAAGCUUGCUUCCCCGGGCGUCGACCGGCGCACGGGUGAGUAACGCGUAUCCAACCUGCCUCUGACUGAGGGAUAACCCGUCGAAAGUCGGCCUAAUACCUCAUGGUAUCGUCUGCGGGCAUCCAACGACGAUUAAAGAUUUCAUCGGUCAGGGAUGGGGAUGCGUCUGAUUAGCUUGUUGGCGGGGUAACGGCCCACCAAGGCUACGAUCAGUAGGGGUUCUGAGAGGAAGGUCCCCCAGAUUGGAACUGGGACACGGUCCAAACUCCUACGGGAGGCAGCAGUGAGGAAUAUUGGUCAAUGGGCGAGAGCCUGAACCAGCCAAGUAGCGUGCAGGAAGACGGCCCUAUGGGUUGUAAACUGCUUUUAUGCGGGGAUAAAGUGAGGGACGUGUCCCUCAUUGCAGGUACCGCAUGAAUAAGGACCGGCUAAUUCCGUG